rnacentral:rRNA from 1 species
AUUGAACGCUGGCGGCAUGCCUUACACAUGCAAGUCGAACGGUAACGGGCCUUCGGGUGCCGACGAGUGGCGAACGGGUGAGUAAUGCAUCGGAACGUACCUUUCAGUGGGGGAUAACGUAGCGAAAGUUACGCUAAUACCGCAUAUUCUGUGAGCAGGAAAGCAGGGGAUCGCAAGACCUUGCGCUGAUUGAGCGGCCGAUGUCAGAUUAGCUAGUUGGUGAGGUAAAGGCUCACCAAGGCGACGAUCUGUAGCGGGUCUGAGAGGAUGAUCCGCCACACUGGAACUGAGACACGGUCCAGACUCCUACGGGAGGCAGCAGUGGGGAAUUUUGGACAAUGGGGGCAACCCUGAUCCAGCCAUGCCGCGUGAGUGAAGAAGGCCUUCGGUUGUAAG